UCUUUGCAGCCAAGGAGAAAUCAGCUUUCCUCCACCAUACUCUCCCUGCAUGAUGUCUUGCCUUGCCACAGGUCUAAAAAUAAAAAGAUCCCCUGGCCAUGGACUGAAAUCCCUGAAGUCAUAGAUAAAAAUCUGCAACAGUACAGAUCUGCUCUGUUAGUGACUGUACCACGCUUCCUGUCUCAUGGAGAUCAGGAGCCACUUCCUGUUCCAUCAAAAACCUGAACUUCAUUUUGAUUGAUCCUAUUUGAGUCAUGUAUACAGACGAAACUAGGAAUAAUACCCACCCCUGCAGACACAGGUUUCACUCAAACUUCAGGGAAGUGAUACGAAGAUGGGAAAGUGGAGGAAGAUUGCUAAGCUGCAACUAGCCAUCAUGUCAAGAAGCUAUACAAGCUGUCCUGUGGAGAACCUCGUGUGGAAGGAAAACCAUCCUCCCACCAGCAGUCAGCACUGCGAACACCAGCACUGGAACAGAUUCUCCAGCAGCAUCCAGUCCCUCAGGCAACUUCAGCGUGUGAGGAGAACUUCACUAGAGACCCCUACACUAAACUGGGACUAGACAGCCCUGUCCCAAAUUUAUGACUUGUAGAACUGUGAGAGAUAAAUGAUCAUUUCAAGCUACUGCAAUUUGGAAUGAUUUAUUAUGCAGUAAUAUGAAACUAAUAAUGCACAUAAGCAGUUUUCAGAUUGAUUUGUUAGAGAUCUUUACCUUUGCACUUUUAUGGUUUGCCUCCAACUUCCAUGUUUUUUGUAGUGUAGGUGUUUAACAUUUUGAUGUAAGUGAAUAUAGAUAGUAAUUCUUUUAUUUAAUGAUUCAUUUGGUCUUCAAAGCACUAAUUUAUGAAGAAUCAAUUCUAUGUUACAUUUUUACCACUUUAUAUAUUUGAAAUCAAAUAUGUAUUUUUAAUCCUAUUUCUAUAUUGAUUAGAACCAUGAGAAAGAAUAAUGGUGAUUAUAGAUUUUCUCAUCUGACUCUUUGAUUUUGAUGGAAAUUACUCUGGUGAUAUAUAUUCCACACCUAGAAAAAUGUACUAUCUAAAAAAAAGCCCCUGUUGACUGCAGUGACAGUCCAAAUCUGUCUUGUUCUCAUAGAUACAUACACUAUAUUUAUCUGAAGCACUUUCUUUCAGUUCCCUCUCUGAAUCUGGCACUGUAGUUCAUAGCAAUGAUCCCCAAGUUUCAUUUAAUGGCUUACUUCAUAUAUUACUUCUAGCUCAUUCUAUCAUGUGUGGUUGUAGAUGUGUCUAGACUAGACAUGUGACUAGACAGAUAAACAGAUAACCUAUAGAUAGAUGCCACAGAUACAGGUAGACAUAGAUAUAUAGAUGUUUGGUCAAAGUUCAUUUGCUAUUAUUUAUGUCCAGGAAUUUGUACAUGUAGGACUUCAGGGACUAUGUUUAGGUGAACAACUUUCACAGGAAACACAGACAACUCAGGUAAUCUGAAAGCAUCUGGCAAAAACAAAACAAGAUAUUUUGUCUACAGUUGUAUGGAAUUGUGCCUUCAUAAAAUCUAUUUGGUGCUGAAAACCCCUCUGGAACACUUUGCAGUGUACCACACUGAUGGGCGGGCCCAGGAGCCAGCGCUCCUCAGAGAAAGCUAAAGAUGUUGUUCUUCACCUCAUUUCCCAGGCUGCCAGGCAGAAUGCAAUGGCCUGGGUGACGGCUGAUCCAUGAGGUGACUGUGAGAUUUUACUGACUUAUAAAAUGACACCACGGAACUGCUUGGUUUAGCUGUGAGAAGCUGUGUGUCAAACUGUCCUGUGGACAAGCAAAGAUACUUCAAACUGUUACAGAUUCUACUUUACAACUGCUCAGCUAGAAUUAUGCUCUCCCCUGUGACCUUCAGCUCAGCAGUGCGUGUUUCUUUGACUAUCCCUAGGACCUUGUGGGCCCAUUUAUAUAAAGCCCACUCCCCUGGCUUUAUAUUUUAGUGGAGAGGAGAGCAGAGGCAGAGUAUUUCUUAACUAGAUCCCUGGAAAAACAUGCCAGCAAGCACCACCAUCAUGCCUCCAACCUCCUCUCAUGUGCUCCUCUUCUAUGAGGCAUAUCUCUUCCUCAUCAGGGAGUAUUAUGACAUUCAAGAUGUUUGUGUGGUUGUUUGGUGGCUGAUAUUUCUGGAUAUCUCUGUUUUUGUGACACUCCACCUAACCUGUCAUAUAGUAUCAUAUGUACUGGUUAUAUUAACACAUAGCAUAGUGAGCUUAUGAGUUUCACGAUUGCUGCCGCAAUAGUGUUCUUUGUCAGAAGCAAAACAACUAUACACUGAAGUUCCAUGAGUGUGUACACUAUUUUUCUCAUUGCUGUAUCCUUAGUAAAAUGAAUACUUUUUGGCCAUGGUAAGUAUCAUAAUAAAAG